CCUACGGGUGGCAGCAGUGGGGGAUAUUGCACAAUGGGGGGAACCCUGAUGCAGCGACGCCGCGUGGGUGAAGGAGUGCUUCGGCAUGUAAAGCCCUAUCUGCAGGGAAGAAGCAAGACGGUACCUGACUAAUACGCCCCGGCUAACUACGUGCAAGCAGCCGCGGUAAUUCGUAGGGGGCGAGCGUUAUCCGGAUUCACUGGGUGUAACGGGAGCGUAGAGGGGCAAGCGAGCCAGGGGUGGACGCCCGGGGCCCAACCCCGGGAUUGCCCUUGAGACUGGAUGGCGGGAGUGCGGGAGGGGCAGGCGGAAUUCGGGGUGUAGCGGUGAAAUGCGUAGAUAUCAGGAGGAACACCGGCGGCGAAGGCGGCCUGCUGGACCGCGACUGACGUUGAGGCUCGAAAGCGUGGGGAGCGAACAGGAUUAGAUACCCUGGUAGUC
rnacentral:rRNA from 1 species